GACGAAGGGGGCUAGCGUUGUUCGGAAUUACUGGGCGUAAAGCGAGUGUAGGUGGUUGUCAUAGUCAGGCGUGAAAGCCUUGAGCUCAACUCAAGAAAUGCGCUUGAUACUGGGCAGCUAGAGGACCGGAGAGGAUAGUGGAAUUCCCAGUGUAGUGGUGAAAUACGUAGAGAUUGGGAAGAACACCAGUGGCGAAGGCGGCUAUCUGGACGGUUUCUGACACUAAGACUCGGAAGCGUGGGGAGCAAACAGG
rnacentral:rRNA from 1 species